AUGAUCCUUGGAGCCACAAUACAAACAGUCCCGGUUGAUUACUCCACGGGACUUUCUCUCUUCUGGCCGGUCGGUUCCUUGGUCUUUGUCGCGACGGGUUGGCUUAGGAUUCUCCAGGGCCUCCAGUUGGGCGAGCUGGAGCUUCUUGGUUAUCUCUUCUUUUCUAUUCUUCUCGAACUUUUCUUUCUUCAUGAAGAGAUUUUCUGCGUGGGUUGCGUGACUUAUAAUCAAAUCAAGUCUGGCGGUACGCCACCCAAUGCAGUGUGUCUCUAUGAAUUCCGAUAUUUUGUCGGCCAACGCAUCCAGGAAGGCCGCGGUGAGAUUUUCUUCGUACGGAGUCUGAACCACCCGGUCGGUUGGUACAGGCACUCCCCCGUGGAUCUUAAACACCUUUUCAACGCGGUCCAUCAAGUCAGCCACCGUCUCGCCUUCUGUUUGUUUGAUCUUUCGAAUAGCGGUCCAAUCUCUAACCAUGGGGAAUUGUCCAUCCAUCACGUCCUCAUGUUGAGGAGUUGGGGAGAACGCCAUUCCCUGGUUCCUCAAGCGGCUGGCGACGGGCUCCCGCUUGGUCGGUGUGGCCGUCGCCUGCUGUGGAGCUUUCCUCUGGCUACGAGUUGCAGGCCUAUCUCCUGCCAUGCUGCAAUCGGGUGCUUUCUCCUCAUCUUUGAGGUCAGGGUAGAGAUUGUCCGAUGAUGCGGCUUCAGGGGCGUUGUCAUACGGGGGAGGAGAAGGGAGAUUCGCACGCGGUCCGCCGGUGCAGUCCAGGUCCGGGUCUAUAUCUCGGGUGACAUUGAGAUUAAAAAUCCCUACACUCUCUACGCUCUCUGUCCCUGGCUGAUUUUUUUUUCUAUCCUGGCCCUCUCUUUCCCACAAAUAAAACGCACACCAACAUAGUUGGGAACUUUUCUUUUUCAUUUCUGAUUCCAACAAUCGUCUCUCUAACUCCUGUAAUCUUUUUAAGCUAAAACUCCCCAUUUCAGGAAAGCCCAGUUUGCACCAAUAUUUUAAACCCUCCAGAGCCGCUUCACCAUGCUUCUCCAACAUCACCUUCGCAGGUCCCGUUAUCUCCGUUUUUCCAGAUUUGUUCCCCAUAUUUUAGAUCCUUUUACACUAGUUAUUAUUUAACAAAUUAUCUAAUAUCGCCGAAACCUCCUUGUUACUACACACAUAUAAAUAUUUAUUAACGAAUGUAUACCUAUUAUUAUUAUCUAUAUAUAAAUGUGACCCCAACAGCGCAUAACGGGGUUCCCUUUACCGUUUUGACAGACCCUCCUGCCCUUUCUGUUACAUAUAUAACAUAUAGUUCAUAUAUUGACGGAACUUCACCGGAGUUGCUUUACCGUAUGUUCCUAUAACAAAGUUCGAACGUGGCCGAUUUGUUCGAAUAUACGUUUUCAAAACAGUAUAUACCGUUUUUAUAACGGAUUUUAUGUAGCUUAAAAGUAUUUUCAAGCUACAGAAGUAUUGAGAUCUCACCUGCUCGAAUUCUUUUGUUUCCUUCUGGAUACCGUACUGAAGAAGCCUUAGUUUAUCCCCCACAGGCACUCUCUCCUCGACCCCAUUAGUCUGGUUACAGUCACCUGGAGGCGGGGUAGAGCUUUGGGACCGACUCGGACCUGUUUUGGAGCGAUAUUUCGUGGAAUCUUCAGGUUAGAUAUCCCGGACGAGCCCCCAAAUUGUCGUGGCAAUUUCUCUAUUAGAUAUUGCGUCUGAGACAGAUGAGAUCUUUAGAUGCAAAAAAGCACACAAUACUUGUAGGCAAUUGCUGGUCGCAUAUAUUUGUAUUAAAAAGUACUAACAAAGAUACAUCUCAAUAUGCAUCAACAAACAAUAAAAAACAGGCAUACAAUAAUAAUCUGAGGCCUCAGAUGAGAGCUUCUCUUUGCAUGAUACUUCACUCUCUGAAGGUACGCUGGGGAGAAGUCCCCUGAGUGUUUGAAAGAAAUGAGUUCUUAUUCACUGGGGUUGGCAUCUGGAGGGGGUGUCCCCCCCAUAAAACCAACAGCCUUUGUUUACCAGAUGGUAAUCUUUUCUAUUGAAGCCCCCCCCCGAUGUCAUUUGAGGGGUCGGCGGCCGUGAGUGACCUUCUGGUCUCGUUGACGUUAGCCAGGGGGUUGAGGACAUCAAAGCAUUACGAUUGGCUGAUUUACAACACACGAAGAUAGGUACAGGCAGGCAAUAAAAUGCUUCACACGACUCUCGAACGUUCACACUUUAAAUGACCCAAAAGGAGCCCAGAAGGCAGACACUAUAUAAAAUUACACAGAAUAGCAACAAAACUUAAAUUCAUAUAGACCAAAACAAUACAACAUGUAGAUUUUCCAUCACACUGGUAGUCAAGUCCAACUCGCCAGCCGGCGAGAGGAAAUCCAACCACGCCGCUUUAAAGAACAUGUCUAUAUUCUUAAGCCGUAAAAGGGGUCCCGGACUCCAGCACAGAGUUGCCGAGUGAACCCCUGGACAUGUCUGACAUGUAAAAACGGACCAAGGGGCCAGGGGAAGACCAAGACGCAGCCGUGCAAAUGUCUUCCACCGAAACGCCCUUGAGUAGAGCCGUUGAAGCGGCCACGCUCCGUGUGGAGUGAGCUUUAACGCCCAACGGUGGCGCCAAGCCCUGCCGAGAGUAGGCUAAGCAAACACCCUCACAUAUCCAGCGAGAAAACCGCUGCUUAGAGAGAGCGCGGCCCCUGCUAGCGUCGCUAUAACACACAAACAACUGUUGUGUGGAGCGGAACACAGCCGAGCGAUUCACGUACAUAGCCAAUGGCCGAACCGGGCACAGGAGAUGCAACUCCGCCUCCGCCUCACUAGAAUUAGGCGGGGGUUGAAAAGCCUUAAGCACAAUAUCCCUUGUACGAAAAUCACUAUUAAUGUUCUUCGGGAGGAAUGCAGGAUUAGGUCUGAGCAACACGAAGGAGCUGUCCUCGUUUAGCAACAAGCAACUCGGACUGACAGACAGAGCGGUUAGCUCACCGGCCCGCUUGGCAGAAACCAAGGCCAACAAGAGCGCCGUCUUAAAGGACAGGGCAUCCAAAG
ensembl:lncRNA